rnacentral:rRNA from 1 species
AGAGGGUGAAAGCCCCGUAUACGAAGGUUUGAUGAGGAACUAGGCACGCGAACAAGUAGGCCGGGACACGUGAAAUCCUGGUUGAAGAUGGGUGGACCAUCAUCCAAGGCUAAAUACUACUUACUGACCGAUAGUGAACCAGUACCGUGAGGGAAAGGUGAAAAGAACCCCGGAGAGGGGAGUGAAAUAGAAUCUGAAACCGUUUGCGUACAAGCAGUGGGAGCAUGGUUUAGGCUGUGUGACUGCGUACCUUUUGUAUAAUGGGUCAGCGAGUUACUUUCAGUGGCGAGGUUAACUGAAUAAGGGAGCCGUAGAGAAAUCGAGUCUGAAUAGGGCGAUAGUCGCUGGGAGUAGACCCGAAACCGGGCGAUCUAGCCAUGUGCAGGAUGAAGGUUGGGUAACACCAACUGGAGGUCCGAACCGGGUAAUGUUGAAAAAUUAUCGGAUGACGUGUGGCUAGGAGUGAAAGGCUAAUCAAGCCCGGAGAUAGCUGGUUCUCCCCGAAAGCUAUUUAGGUAGCGCCUCGUGAAUGAUUACUGGGGGUAGAGCACUGUUUCGGCUAGGGGGCUGUCAUGGCUUACCAAACCGAUGCAAACUCCGAAUACCGGCUAAUUGAAUCACGGGAGACACACGGCGGGUGCUAACGUCCGUCGUGGAGAGGGAAACAACCCAGACCGCCAGCUAAGGUCCCCAAGUACUAGUUAAGUGGGAAACGAUGUGGGAAGGCAUAGACAGCCAGGAGGUUGGCUUAGAAGCAGCCACCCUUUAAAGAAAGCGUAAUAGCUCACUGGUCGAGUCGGCCUGCGCGGAAGAUGUAACGGGGCUAAAACUAGUCACCGAAGCUGCGGAUGUGCGCGAAGGCGCACGUGGUAGGGGAGCGUUCUGUAGGCUGAUGAAGGUGCAUUGAGAAGUGUGCUGGAGGUAUCAGAAGUGCGAAUGCUGACAUGAGUAACGAUAAUGUGGGUGAAAAGCCCACACGCCGGAAGUCCCAGGUUUCCUGCACGACGUUAAUCGGAGCAGGGUGAGUCGGCCCCUAAGGCGAGGCUGAAGAGCGUAGUCGAUGGGAACCAGGUUAAUAUUCCUGGACUUUUUAUAAGUGGUGAAGUGGGGACGAAGAAGGCUAGGUGAGCCAGGCGUUGGUUGUCCUGGUACUUGCAUGUAGGGGGGAAGACUUGGCAAAUCCGGUUUUCCAUAACUCUGAGGUGCGAAGUGGUUCUGACCUUUUGGUACAGAGAAGUCAUUGAUGCCCGGCUUCCAGGAAAAGCUGCUAGCCAUAACUUAUAGAGAACCGUACCGCAAACCGACACAGGUGGACAGGUAGAGAAUACUAAGGCGCUUGAGAGAACUCGGGUGAAGGAACUAGGCAAAAUGGUACCGUAACUUCGGGAGAAGGUACGCCCUUU